UUGCUCGCUUCAGCAGCACAUAUACUAAAAUUGGAGCAAUGCAGAGAUUAGCAUGGCCCCUGCGCGAGGAUGACACGCAAAUUCAUGAAGCGUUCCAUAUUUUA
rnacentral:snRNA from 1 species